GAUGAAGAACGUAGCGAAAUGCGAUAAGUAAUGUGAAUUUCAGAAUUCAGUGAAUCAUCGAAUCUUUGAACGCAUCUUGCGCUCCUUGGUAUUCUGAGGAGCAUGCCUGUUUGAGUGUCAUUAAAUUCUCAACUACACUGACUUUGAAUUGGUGUGGCUUGGAUUUGGGGGGAAAAUUGUUGUGGGCUUUUUGUAUAGUCUGCUCCCCUGAAAUUGAUUAGCGGUACCUUUGUGGAACUGUCUACAGGUGUGAUAAUUAUCUACAUCUUAGACAUCUGCUGGAAUGCUGCUUUCUAAACCUUACUUGUAUUGACAAUCUUGACCUCAAAUCAGGUAGGACUACCCGCUGAACUUAAGCAUAUCAAUAAGCGGAGGA
rnacentral:misc_RNA from 1 species